rnacentral:lncRNA from 1 species
GAAACGAUAAAUUGGGGAGAUAUUUGGAGUGUAGCGUUUGAGAAGACUGCAGCACAGCAGAGUCCAGCUGGCGGGAAGGAUGAGCUAGAUCACCCCACAUCACGUGCCAUUCACGCCUUCAAUACUUAAGCUAUGAUGAGACAACGCCACGUAUAGAGUAAUAAAUUGUAUGUACACGUGUCGAGAGCCAUAAACGUAUAACCAGAACCACUUUUGUCCUGUCUGUUUUCCAGAACAAGGUCAAUUGAAGCUGUUCUCAGCUCUCCUUUUCUCUCUCUCUAUUCGCGUCGCGACAAAUUCGUAACUAGCAGUACAAAAAUUUUUGUACUCGUAACAGACAAAUUUGGUAUUCCCAAACUGCCC